rnacentral:rRNA from 1 species
UGAGGAACAUGACCUUCGGCGGGGAUAGCCGGCCCAACGGCCGGGUAAUACCGCGUACGACCACAUGGGGACAUCCCUGAGUGGUGAAAGCAGCAAUGCGCCGAUGGAGUGCCUCGCGGCCUAUCAGCUAGUUGGUGAGGUAACGGCUCACCAAGGCAACGACGGGUAGCUGGUCUGAGAGGAUGAUCAGCCACAUUGGGACUGAGACACGGCCCAGAUCCUACGGGG